rnacentral:tRNA from 1 species
GGGUCGUUAGCUCAGUUGGUAGAGCACCGGACUUUUAAUCCGUUUGUCGUGCGUUCAAUUCGCACACGACCCACCA